rnacentral:rRNA from 1 species
ACGGGUGAGUAACGCGUGGGAAUCUACCGUACCCUACGGAAUAGCUCUGGGAAACUGGAAGUAAUACCGUAUACGCCCGUAAGGGGAAAGAUUUAUCGGGGUAUGAUGAGCCCGCGUUGGAUUAGCUAGUUGGUGGGGUAAAGGCCUACCAAGGCGACGAUCCAUAGCUGGUCUGAGAGGAUGAUCAGCCACAUUGGGACUGAGACACGGCCCAAACUCCUACGGGAGGCAGCAGUGGGGAAUAUUGGACAAUGGGCGAAAGCCUGAUCCAGCCAUGCCGCGUGAGUGAUGAAGGUCUUAGGAUUGUAAAGCUCUUUCAACGGUGAAGAUAAUGACGGUAACCGUAGAAGAAGCCCCGGCUAACUUCGUGCCAGCAGCCGCGGUAAUACGAAGGGGGCUAGCGUUGUUCGGAAUUACUGGGCGUAAAGCGCACGUAGGCGGGUAUUUAAGUCAGGGGUGAAAUCCCGCAGCUCAACUGCGGAACUGCCUUUGAUACUGGGUAUCUUGAGUAUGGAAGAGGUAAGUGGAAUUGCGAGU